GACGAACGCUGGCGGCGUGCUUAACACAUGCAAGUCGAACGGAAAGGCCCUGCUUUUGUGGGGUGCUCGAGUGGCGAACGGGUGAGUAACACGUGAGUAACCUGCCCUUGACUUUGGGAUAACUUCAGGAAACUGGGGCUAAUACCGGAUAGGAGCUCCUGCUGCAUGGUGGGGGUUGGAGAGUUUCGGCGGUUGGGGGUGGGCUCGCGGCUUAGCCGCGUGUGGGUGGGGUAAUGGCUUCCCAAGGGGUUGACGGGUAGGCGGCCUGAGAGGGUGUACGGCCAGAUUGGGACGGAGCUACGGCCCAGACUCCUACGGGAGGCAGCAGUGGGGAGUAUUGCACAAUGGGCGCAAGCCUGAUGCAGCGACGCCGCGUGGGGGAUGACGGCCUUCGGAUUGGAAACUCCUUUCGCUAGGGACGAAGCGUUUUGUGACGGUACCUGGAGAAGAAGCACCGGCUAACUACGUG
rnacentral:rRNA from 1 species